rnacentral:rRNA from 1 species
AUUGAACGCUGGCGGCAGGCCUAACACAUGCAAGUCGAGCGGAUGAAGAGAGCUUGCUCUCUGAUUCAGCGGCGGACGGGUGAGUAAUGCCUAGGAAUCUGCCUGGUAGUGGGGGACAACGUCUCGAAAGGGACGCUAAUACCGCAUACGUCCUACGGGAGAAAGCAGGGGACCUUCGGGCCUUGCGCUAUCAGAUGAGCCUAGGUCGGAUUAGCUAGUUGGUGAGGUAAUGGCUCACCAAGGCGACGAUCCGUAACUGGUCUGAGAGGAUGAUCAGUCACACUGGAACUGAGACACGGUCCAGACUCCUACGGGAGGCAGCAGUGGGGAAUAUUGGACAAUGGGCGAAAGCCUGAUCCAGCCAUGCCGCGUGUGUGAAAGAAGGUCUUCGGAUUGUAAAGCACUUUAAGUUGGGAGGAAGGGCAGUAAGCGAAUACCUUGCUGUUUUGACGUUACCGACAGAAUAAGCACCGGCUAACUCUGUGCCAGCAGCAGC